GAUGAACGCUGGCGGCGUGCCUAAUACAUGCAAGUCGAGCGAACGGACGCGAAGCUUGCUUCUUUGACGUUAGCCGCGGACGGGUGUGUAACACGUGGAUAAUCCACCUAUCAGACUGGGAUCACUUCGGGAAACCGGCGAUAACAGCGGAUAAUAUUUUGAACCGCAUGGGUCAAAAGUGAAAGACGGUCUUGCUGUCAGUAAUAGAUGGAUCCCGGCUGCAUUAGCUGGUUGGGAAGGUAACGGGCUACCAAGGCUACGAGGCAUAGCCGAACUGAGAGGGUGAUCGGCCACACGGGAGCGUAGACACGGUCCAGACGCCUACGGGAGGCAGCAGUCGGGAACCGGCCGCAAUGGGGGAGAGCCUGGCGGAGCGGCGGGGCGUGAGUGAUGAAGGUCUUGGGAUCGGGAAACUCUGUUAUUAGGUAAGAACAGAUGUGGAAGGAACUGAGCACAGCUUGACGGUAACGAAUCAGAAAGCCACGGCUAACUACGUG
rnacentral:rRNA from 1 species